rnacentral:lncRNA from 1 species
UAUCAUCUAUUUUCAAUUUCGCAACUAUCCUUUCAUACGUUUCAAAUUAAAAGAAAUCAUCGAUCUCUGUAUUUUGGUAUUGUUAUCCUUGCCAAAAUCAAAUUUCAAAAUUAUUUAUAAAGACAAUUUCAUCCUUAUGUUAUUGUUACUUCUGGUGUUCAAUUUGUUAUCAAAGAGUCUUCAAACCUUUACUCUACAUCAGAACCGAAUGCGCCACAUCUACAUAAGGUAAGCAAAUAAUUUUGAUUUAAUGAUGAACUUUAGUUGCAAAGCAUCUGUUUAUUGUUUAUGUGCUCAUUUAUGUUAUAAUCUUAUAUUUUCCCUUCUUUUGUCGAAUUCUCAUGUAAUUUUAAUGUUCAAACUCUUGCUUGUGUUAGAAUGCAUAUAUGGUGUUCGAUUAAAUGCCUCAAACAAAUACAUUAACAAUGUCAAUUAAAAUACUUGAUUUCGUUAUAUUUAGGCUACGUUGUCCUGUUUGCAGAAGUGUUUUUUUGUUUUUGAUAAUCAAAAUUAUAGCACAAAUACAUGACAAAUCUGCCCCUUCCCUUAAUUCGAAUAAAAAUAAAUCACCAUAUGCUUUGUUGCCGAAUUGCAUGUUAAAGUAUAUUUAGUAUAAGAGUUCUAAAUAAGAAUAAGAGCUCUAAAUCAUAAAUAAGCCCAAUUAUAGGUUGAAGUGUAUUUAGGAUUCUCAUGGAACUUAUAAGCAUGGUAGAAAAGUAAUAUUUUCUCAUCAAUUAAAAUUUACUUCUUGUGCUAUAUGGAUAACUGAUUUAUAUAAAAUAUUAUAAAACAUUAUGACACACUUAGGAAAUGCAAAUAAAUAACAAACAAUGACAAAUUUGUAUAAAGGUUACGACUACAUGCCUAUAAAGGUAUCUCGUGUUAUGAAGUACAAUUUUUGAUUUCAGGGGCGUUUAUGUCAUGAUUUACAGAAAUGCAAUUUUUUUUUUGUUUUUUUUUUUGUUAUAUUUUGUCUACUUUGGUUUUACUUUAAUGACUUAGACAUAAACAUGAAAUGAACCAAUUUGUUUUACCGGGUGAUUGGUCGACUAAUCAACAUUAGUAUAAAUUUACUGAAGGGUAUAAUGGUAAUUUAUGGGUUGACACUUUGGUAGAAAGGGAAAUGUCAAAUUUUAUAUGAACUGGAAAAACAAUUUUUAUAGAAAUACAUUUUCUUUUACAAAAAUACAAUUUUUUUUCGCAAGAUGACUACACAUCAACGACUGAAUUAUCUGUCUAUGGAAACAAACUUUAUGGAAUAACACUCAAAAUGGAGGAUUUAGAGUGGGAUUUAUUUAUAUACCUAUAUUUAUUAUUUUUUUUAUGAGAAUAUGUUUUUUAUUUUUCUUAAUUUCUACAGAGGACGAGAACUUUUUUACUUUAUGGGGACGGUAGUCUGACGAAAUUGGUGCAUAUGUUUCUAAGCACCCGAGCAAUUUUGUAUCGCUUAUUUAACUGGCUAAGUUGAAUCUUAUCUGAUGUACGUAUUUAGUAAAUUAUUAAUUUGUAAUAUUUUUAUUAUUAACAUAUUUAAGAUAUGAAAUUAUACUGAUGCAAAAAAUUAUUUAAUUUUCAUUUCAGAAUGUCUAUACAUCAAUAACACUUAGCUACAAAAGUUUUUAUUGAAGACAACAUUGAAGAAAUAACCUUUUUCAUAAAAAGGAAAUUAACUUGAUUUGGGAUUAUAAGUUUUUUUCGUUGUUAUUAAUCUUGAUUUAGUAAUUUUUAAGUUAUAUGGAAAUUAACCGUAUUCCAAAUAUGAUAAGAAGAUUAUCCAUUUUUGUCGUAUCUAUUUUUUCUUUUAAAUAAUGUCAUUUAAUCCCUUUUUUAAACAUGGUUUGUUUAUGUUCAUGUUUUAGUGUGUGUAUUUUACUGUGGUUGUGGAUUGGAGGUGAUCUUAUUACUUAAUGCUACUUUUGAAUUAAUAUGCAUGUUAAUAACAACUUUCUUUCUUUCUUUCUUUUUGAAUUUAGGGAGGUUAUAAUUAGUAACUUGACCAUUCGUGUUGUGAUUUUUGAGAUGGACUAUCCGUGUGCUAUACUAACUUCAUGUUUUCCAUUUUCAAAAUUAUUGAUGUACAUUCUUAAGUGUUUAUGUUAUUUUAUUUUGUGAAUUGUAUACAUUCUUAACUGUUUAUGUUAUUUUUCUGGUGUCGCAAAUCUACACUAAUAUUUAAUGCUUUUGCAUCUUGAGUGAGGAUGCAAACGAGGUUCAAUAGAUGGAUGAGGGUUAAACAAGUGAAAAUGUAAAAAACAUGUAUUAAAACAACACCGUAUAGAACCAUGCUCCUUACUACAAGUGAUAUUUUGUAUUUUUAAUUGUUUUGAAUCAGGUAUACAUCAUUAUAUUGUUUGCCACAUGGCUCUCAUCUAAGAAUAGGAGAUUUUAUGUGAUAAUAAUUUUUAAUCAAUUAUUAAUUUCAUUUUUAAUUGUAUUGAACCAAGUAUCAACAUCUAUGGGUUUAUUUGAAGAGAAUGAUGUUAUAAUAUAACAAUAUAAUCAUUAAUUUUGUUAAAAAAAAGCCAACGUUUGGGUUCAUCAAAGGCUUUGUAUAUAUGUAAAAUUAUUAAUUUAAAAUUUUAUUAAUGUUUAGAAGUUUAUAUUAGUUUUUUUUAAUGGGAUUUUUUAAUUUUGUGCCCCAAGGGCACAUAUAAGAAGCAUUAGUUAAAAACAAAUAUUACUAUAAUUAAAUGUAAAGUAUAUUAAUAAAGGAAUAUUACCUUAAUUAAAUGUGACAUGCAUUAAUAAUCUUCAUAAUAAAUGUAUUUUGAAUUUAAUUAUGGUAAUAUUUUUCAUAAUUAAUACUUGUUAUAUGUGCCCUUAAGGCACAUAUUAGAAAAUCCAUUUUUUAAUAAACCCAUGUGAUGCAUGGGUCUCACACAUAGUUUUCUCAAUACUUUUGAUUAAUUUGUUUUCCAAAUGUUAUUUUCUUAUUUAUUCAAAUUUUAUUUUAUCGACACAUCAUUAAUUUCAUUAAGCCAAUUCAUUAUUAAAGUAAGGCGUCGUUUGAUUUCAACUUAUCGGGUUCGGUCAGUGCUGACUGCUGACUCAGUCAACAAUCCGGAUGUUUGAUAAUCACAUGUAAUAGACGACUCGGUCAGCAUUGCUGACCCAUAUCUCUUACUCAGUAAGCUCCAAAAAAAUGUCUUACUGGAAAAUAAGAAGCCGACAACUCUUAUUUCCUUAGAUACCCUCGCCUCCCUCGUCAAUCCCUAAAAUGUAACACGCUCCAACAAUUGGCUGACCCCCAAUAACUUCUACCGACGAUUUCACCUCCUGCCAUCUCCUCCGGCAACGACCACCACAACUCCGACGACACCUCCACUGCACCGACGACGAGCUCCACCGCAGGUAAGAUUUUUGCGGUUUUUUUGUGCUUUUUUUUUUUUUUCCUGAAAUCACAAAAUUGUUACUAUCUCUUGUGAAAUUACUAAUUUCAUUCUGAAAUCAAAGUUUGAAUUACUGAUUUCAUUCUUCUUUGAUUGAAAUGUUUAAAGGGUGUGCAUAAAAUCAAUUGAUAAUAUAUAUUUGUGUAUGAAAUAUGAUUUUAUCUAUAUGAACUAAUGAAUAUUUGUGUAUGAAAUUUGAUUUUCUCUAUAUGAACUAAUGUGUAAUUUUAACAUGAACAAUUGUGUGCAUAAAAUCAAAUUUUAAGUGGUUGAAAUCAGAAAAUGUUGAAUAUGUUGUACAUGUUUGUAUGAAAUCAGAAAUCAGAAAUUGUUAUAUGCUUAUGAAAUCAAAAUUUAUUUGUAUGAAAUCAAAAUUUAUGUUGUAUAUGUUGUUAAGAAUGUGAGGUAAUCAGAUUUAUGCUUGAUUUAUGUUGUAAAUGUGUGUUAUGUGGAUGAUUUAUGUUUUUUUGUUUACAAUAGACAUGCAGAUAAAAGAAGUAGAAUUAGGUGGAAGUCAGAGAUUCUGGACAAAUUUUU